UUAAAGAAACAUAAAUCGCUUUCAAAACAAAAAAUGGGAGGUAAUAAAAAAUGGGAACAAUCGUCUGCAAAUCUUGCCAAUCAACAAUCGAGCACUUUGAGGAGGAAAAGGUGACAGUUCUUUACUCUCAUUGUGGAUGCGAUCAGAAAACAGAAAUUGAUGACUAACAUACAAAAAGGGGCUGUCUCAAAAGCCUCUUAAAUGAAGAAAAUCCGGCGGGUUCUUGAAAAGGACCCGCCGGAUUUUUU
rnacentral:sRNA from 1 species